rnacentral:misc_RNA from 1 species
GAUGAAGAACGUAGCGAAAUGCGAUACGUAAUGUGAAUUGCAGAUUUCAGUGAAUCAUCGAAUCUUUGAACGCACAUUGCGCCCGCUAGUAUUCUGGCGGGCAUGCCUGUUCGAGCGUCAUUUCAACCAUCAAGCCCUAGGCUUGCGUUGGAGCCCUGCGGCUGCCGCAGGCUCCCAAAUCCAGUGGCGGGCUCGUCGUCGUACCGAGUGCAGUAAACAUCCUCGCUCAGGGAACGUGACGGGUUCUUGCCGUGAAACCCCCCACAUAUCAAGGUUGACCUCGGAUCAGGUAGGACUACCCGCUGAACUUAAGCAUAUCAAUAAGCGGAGGA